UAAGGAAUAUUGGUCAAUGGACGCAAGUCUGAACCAGCCAUGCCGCGUGAAGGAAGACGGCCCUACGGGUUGUAAACUUCUUUUGUACAGGAAAAAACCACCGGUCGUGAACCGGUGCUGAUGGUACUGUAAGAAUAAGGAUCGGCUAACUCCGUGCCAGCAGCCGCGGUAAUACGGAGGAUCCAAGCGUUAUCCGGAUUCAUUGGGUUUAAAGGGUGCGUAGGCGGGUAGGUAAGUCAGUGGUGAAAUCCUGGAGCUCAACUCCAGAACUGCCAUUGAUACUAUUUAUCUUGAAUAUUGUGGAGGUAAGCGGAAUAUGUCAUGUAGCAGUGAAAUGCGUAGAUAUGCGGAGGAACACCGAUGGCGAAGGCAAUCCCCUGGACCUGUACUGACGCUCAUGCACGAAAGCGUGGGGAGCAAACAGG
rnacentral:rRNA from 1 species